GCCGCCUGGGGUGAUACCAUGCCUGUAGGAGGGCUGAUUAAGUGGAACAGCCAGCCCAGAGUGAUAGGGAAGCAGAGCAAGGGGUGUGGCCAUUUGAGGCAAUACUGCACUUGCAAGUGGCGCUUGGGUGCUGGUAGCCCCCCUACCCCUCCUUGGGUUUUUCACUUUGCAGCCUGACUGUUGCAUUGGCAGUUUUUUUCACAGGGCUUCAUGCUGGUGGCGAGGCUGGCAGUUCAGGACUGUUGCCUGAGCUAACUUGACCCAUGGGCAAUGCAGAAAGUAGGUCUUACAGGCCACUGCUGUCAUGACCAGGACACUGGGACUGGACUAGGAGGCCAAUUUCCAUCUUUGGGGUUCCCAUCCACUGCCAUACGCAAGUAGGGCUUUCUGUAUGUCCCACAUCCAGACCAUUGCUCCUGCCUGACUCUUCCCUUUGUUGUAGAUGGGGAGGAGUAAGCGGGUGGUGCAGUCAGCGGACAGAAGGACAUGGCUGAUGAUGAUGGAAUGGAAGGAGCACAUCUCCCAUAGAGAGAGCCUCCUGCUGGCUGAAUGGGCGCUGCCUAGUGGCAGCUGAAGCACUCACAGCACAGGAUGAAGGGAAGCAGACAGCAAGCACAGGCCUACUAUGAGGCCAUAAAGCAGGAGCUAACAGCUCCAUUGUGGGAGGGGUGGACUCCACAGGCAUCAUGCAACACCCGCAGGACAAUAUAAUACACUGGGCCAAUGGUCAACAGCCUCAGCAAGCAGAGGCUCAUAGGGAGAAGUGUUAGUCAUUAGGACCAGGAACCAGUGAAGAUCUAGACACUGCUCUUCCUAACCAUGCCAGCAAUGGAGUGUGCAAGCCUCAGUGUGGACUAAGAGAAAAACAAGAGACUUUUGGAAUUCCUUCUUUUCCCACGUGAAAACCAAACUCCUUUUCCUUUACAGAGCACUCGCAAAUCCUACAGCAGAAGCUCUGCAGACAACAGGCUGAGCCCCUCACUUGGAGGGAGUGUGCAAGCCUUUCUUCUGGAGCAUCUCUUCCUCGCUAGCUUGCAGAGGAAAAGUGAACAUAGAUCUUCCCCAGGCCUGAAGCUCAAAGGUCCAUUUAUGUAGCUGGCCUGGGUGGUCACACCAGUCCUGUCAAAGGUCCUAAAUGACAACACCUCAGGGCACUGCAGCUAACCCAGGUUUCUCCUCCCACAUAGGCUUUGGGAUGCAACAAGACUACAGAAGCAGGAAGGAGGCUGCAGGCUGUUUUAGCAACCCAGGAUCAGAUGCCAACCAGGGACCAUGCUGUGGAUUACACUGGGAGGAGGGACCUAAUAGCAUUCCCACAGACAUCUCUCUCAGUAUCAAACUGCCAGGAAAUAGUAUGAGCCAAGACCAAGCACCUUUGGAUCUGCAGCCCAUCAUGGAAAAUCACCACCAUCUUUCAACCAGAAAGAGAGUCAAGUGUGCCACCCUCAUGGAAACCAGACUCAGGUGACCAGAAGGAGCUAAAGGAGAUGUGGUCCUCAGCCUGUCAUGCAGGGCAGACUGGCAUAAUUUGUUCUUGGUUAACACAUCUAUGCCUCACUGGAAGUGCAGAUGUUUCAGCUAGAUUCCCGCACAGCUCAGACAUUGGGACAAGAAAAAAUAAACUAGAGAAGUUCUUGAAUCAUUCUGCUUCCAAGGGAGCCAAAUUAAAAAUCCCUCCCUCCCCACCAUGGGCUCUGCACUCUGCCCUGGAAUCUCAGCAGCAGGAGGACUGCUCUCUAGAAGCCCUAUUCAGAACACUAGUUCCAGUGCUAUGAUUCCAGGCACUGCAUUCCACUCUGUAUUUUUUAGGUACAAACUGUGAUAGCCACAGAGCUUUCAACUAGCAAAGCAUGGAUAAAACCAGACAGGAAGUAGGAGGGGGCCUAUGCUUAACCUUAAAGACAUAUGAAUUGCUGGAAGACCAGAGUGCAAAGCGAAGGAGAGUUUCUUCCUUGGGAUGUUUCAAGACAGCAGCUGAUGAGGCCUCACACUCCUGCCAUGGGAAUGAAGUGAUCGGGGAUCUUACUUUUGUAGAUUUUUCUUGUUCAUCUCCAAGAAAAGCACCCUGUCCAAUCUUGUGCAGGUGUACUGUAAUUUCAUGUGCCUCAGGAAUGGAAAGGAAGAAGACAGAGGUGGCAAGGUAACAGCAUGGCUGGUGCUGGAAGGGACAGUCAGAACAAGGGAGAACUAAAGGUGACCCAGCUGGCCAGGACAGAAAUGUGCCUGUUAUCCAAAUGCAGGAGGUGGACAUGGGACUGCCCUGGUCAACUACAUAAGCAGCUUGGAGUAAUGGUGAAGUUACAGGCCUGAUACCAUCUGCCUUUCCUGAAAACCAGGGAGAAGGUAGCUGCACCUGCAGAGAUGAUUUCUUUUGAUCAGACUGAGGAGUGUCUCAAAGGCCAGGGCCCGUUUUGAGCAAGGCACGAGGCUUCG